rnacentral:rRNA from 1 species
AUUGAACGCUGGCGGCAUGCCUUACACAUGCAAGUCGAACGGUAACAGGUCUUCGGAUGCUGACGAGUGGCGAACGGGUGAGUAAUACAUCGGAACGUGCCUAGUAGUGGAGGAUAACUACUCGAAAGAGUGGCUAAUACCACAUGAGAUCUACGGAUGAAAGCAGGGGAUCGCAAGACCUUGUGCUACUAGAGCGGCCGAUGGCAGAUUAGGUAGUUGGUGGGAUAAAAGCUUACCAAGCCGACGAUCUGUAGCUGGUCUGAGAGGACGAUCAGCCACACUGGGACUGAGACACGGCCCAGACUCCUACGGGAGGCAGCAGUGGGGAAUUUUGGACAAUGGGCGAAAGCCUGAUCCAGCAAUGCCGCGUGCAGGAUGAAGGCCUUCGGGUUGUAAACUGCUUUUGUACGGAACGAAAAGCCCCGGGUUAAUACCCUGGGGUCAUGACGGUACCGUAAGAAUAAGCACCGGCUAACUACGUGCCAGCCGCCGCAGUAA